AGUAGUUUGAUCAUGGCUCAGAUUGAACGCUGGCGGCAUGUCUUUACACAUGCAAGUCGAACGGGCGUUGGGGGCUUGCCUACCCUAAGUUAGUGGCGAACGGGUGAGUAAUACAUCGGAACGUACCGUGUAGUGGGGGGUAACGUAGCGAAAGUUACGCUAAUACCGCAUACAAUCUACGGAUGAAAGCAGGGGACCUUCGGGCCUUGUGCUAUACGAGCGGCCGAUGUCUGAUUAGCUAGUUGGUGAGGUAAAGGCUCACCAAGGCGACGAUCAGUAGCGGGUCUGAGAGGAUGAUCCGCCACACUGGGACUGAGACACGGCCCAGACUCCUACGGGAGGCAGCAGUGGGGAAUUUUGGACAAUGGGCGAAAGCCUGAUCCAGCCAUGCCGCGUGAGUGAAGAAGGCCUUCGGGUUGUAAAGCUCUUUUGUCAGGGAAGAAACGGUUGUGGCUAAUAUCCAUGGCUAAUGACGGUACCUGAAGAAUAAGCACCGGCUAACUACGUG
rnacentral:rRNA from 1 species